UUACGUCUGGUGUUUUGUAGGCUGUCUCAGGUACAGUAGAUUAUUAGAGGAUCCAUUUGGAUGAGACCGAGUCAGCUAUGUUACUAUGACUGAUUAUGAGAGGGCUUUCUUGUCUGGCUGAGAGGUUAGCUUCAUGUAUUACAUCCUCAAAAAGAGCCACAAACACAGGGUGACAUGCUAGCAGACAGCAAGUUUGGUCAGUUUCGAGGGCACCUCUGCCAAGUCACCCUUCCUCACUCAGUGUGGUUCCUAUAUAAGCAGCACUUUUUAAAACUCUGUUAGGAAUUAAAACGCUUGUUCUGUCAGGACCACUAUCGUCAAAGAUGACUGACAAUUUAGUUUGGAUU